rnacentral:lncRNA from 1 species
AAAUUAAAAAAAAAAUAAAAGAUUGGAUCUCAUGUAGUUCUGGCUAGCUUCAGACUUGCUAGGUAGUCAAGGAUGGCCUGACUCCUUGCUCGUCCUGAAUCAGCUUUCUAGAGGCUAGGAUUCUAGACAUGCACUGCCAGCUGUUGAUAAAUUUCUCUCUUAGAGUAUUGAAUCAUUUCUCUGUUUUGUUAAAACUGUUGCCCACAGAUUGCCCACACUGAUUGCUGUUGGAUCUAUUUCUGAUUCCUCACUUUGAUCAUCAGAAAGCUGUUCCUUCAGGGAUAUGUUGUUAACCACAGAGCUUCAUUUUCUACAACAAUGGAUCUACUUUCCAGGUGGUUCCUGGCUCUAGAACUCUGAGAUGCAUACAAAUGGAUUUCUUCCCAAAGUUAACAUGCCACUCAGCAAGUCACUAUCACACUGAAUCCCUGCAGUGUGUGGAGAGGUUGAAGACAGACCCCCUACAUUACACAAGAUGGCCUCAAACUUUCAGCAAUUGCCUCAUCUACCUAAGUGCUGGGGUCACAGUAUUAAAAAGAAAAUGCAGUACAUUCACAUUUUCCUGA